GCACUGGUGGUGUAAUGGUAACAUUGAAGCUUCCCAUGCUUCGGCUUCGGGUUCGAUUCCCGGCCAGUGCA